GCCGACAAGGCCCUGCCCUGACUUUCGAUCAGGCGGACUACCUCGGCACCCACGGUGCCGAGGCCCGCAAUACCCACCUUGAGGGGUGCGACCAUCUUGCUGAAAACCUGCCGGAAAAACUUGAGUNNNNNUGGUCCGAAAACCGGGGGCCACUUUUCGGGAUCGUGCCUACCGCCGAUUGGCGAGCGGAACCACGUUGUGCAACGAUUCAACGCCAGUUUCAAGGAAGCGCCGGAUAUUGCGGGCUGCCUGGCGAAUACGCUGCUCGUUUUCCACCAUCGCGAUGCGGACAUAGCCCUCGCCGUGCUCGCCGAAGGCAACGCCCGGCGAUACGACGACGCCGGAUUUUUCUACCAUCAGGGUCGCGAACUGCAUGCUGCCGA
rnacentral:misc_RNA from 1 species